rnacentral:rRNA from 1 species
GCAAAUUACCCACUCCCGGCACGGGGAGGUAGUGACGAAAAAUAACGAUACGGGACUCAUCCGAGGCCCCGUAAUCGGAAUGAGCACACUUUAAAUCCUUUAACGAGUAUCCAUUGGAGGGCAAGUCUGGUGCCAGCAGCCGCGGUAAUUCCAGCUCCAAUAGCGUAUAUUAAAGUUGUUGCGGUUAAAAAGCUCGUAGUCGGACUUGUGUCACACGCUGCCGGUUCACCGCCCGUCGGUGUUUAACUGGCAUGCACGUGCUGACGUCCUGCCGGUGGCCCGAGCCGGUCCGGGAGCUCUGGGUGCGGGAUUCCCUUCGGGGGCCCGCCUCGAACCCGGUGUCCGGGGAGGGCCUACUCAUACCCCUCGCGGUGCUCUUAACCGAGUGUCUCGUUGGGCCGGCACGUUUACUUUGAACAAAUUAGAG